AUGCCUGCCUCCGCGCACCGCCACUUCCUCUCUAGCGCUCUGCUAGCCUCCCACUGCCUCCUUCCACUACGGCAGCGCCUUCCCUCCCCUGCGCGCUGCUGGCAAACCACCGGCAGCAGGCUCCUCCGCCGGCCGUCGACCUUACCAGCGCCGCUGCCCAACCACCGCUCUCUGUCGACCAGGCUUCUGCGCGCGCCCUCCUCUCCCAGGCCCCCUCCCAUAGUCCCUAGCCCAUCGCUGAAUGCAUACGCUGCACCACAGGUUCCGGAUGAACUUCUUGUUGAAAGGGUGGUUGGCAGACGGCUGCAUCCUGAAACGGGGAAAAUAUACCAUCUAAAGUAUUCUCCACCUGAGAAUGAAGAAAUUGCAUCCAGGCUUACACAAAGAUUUGAUGAUACAGAAGAAAAGGUUAAGCUGAGGUCGCAGACGCAUUAUCAAAAUAUCAAGUCCUUGGUUUCGAUAUAUGAAGAUGUUAUAGUCAAGGUAAAAAGGAAAUACCACGGUGGAAGAUGUGUUAUGUGA
rnacentral:rRNA from 1 species